rnacentral:tRNA from 1 species
UCAGUAGUUUAAUGGCAGAACAUCAGCCUUCCAAGCUGUGGGUGAGGGUUCGAUUCCCUUCUGGU